CCUACGGGGGGCUGCAGUAAGGAAUAUUGGUCAAUGGAGGAAACUCUGAACCAGCCAUCCCGCGUGAAGGAUGAAGGGGCUCUGCCUUGUAAACUUCUUUUGUCUGGGGCGAAAAAGCUCGAUUUAUCGAGAACUGACGGUACCAGAAGAAUAAGCACCGGCUAACUCCGUGCCAGCAGCCGCGGUAAUACGGAGGGUGCAAGCGUUAUCCGGAAUCACGGGGUCUAAAGGGUGUGUAGGCGGCAUAGUAGAAAGGCUGUGGCUUAACCAUGGAAUUGCCAUUGAUACUGCAGAGCUUGAAUGAGGUUGAGGUUGGCGGAAUGUGACAUGUAGCGGUGAAAUGCUUAGAUAUGUCAUGGAACACCGAUUGCGAAGGCAGCUGACUGGACCUAUAUUGACGCUGAGGCACGAAAGCGUGGGGAGCGAACAGGAUUAGGAUACCCCGUAGUC
rnacentral:rRNA from 1 species